GACGAACGCUGGCGGCGUGCUUAACACAUGCAAGUCGAACGGAAAGGCCCUGCUUUUGUGGGGUGCUCGAUUGGCGAACGGGUGAGUAACACGUGAGUAACCUGCCCUUGACUUUGGGAUAACUUCAGGAAACUGGGGCUAAUACCGGAUAGGAGCUCCUGCUGCAUGGUGGGGGUUGGAAAGUUUCGGCGGUUGGGGAUGGACUCGCGGCUUAUCAGCUUGUUGGUGGGGUAGUGGCUUACCAAGGCUUUGACGGGUAGCCGGCCUGGGAGGGUGACCGGCCACAUUGGGACUGAGAUACGGACCAGACUGCUACGGGAGGCAGCAGUGGGGAAUAUUGCACAAUGGGCGGAAGCCUGAUGCAGCAACGCCGGGUGCGGGAUGACGGCCUUCGGGUUGUAAACCGCUUUCGCCUGUGACGAAGCGUGAGUGACGGUAAUGGGUAAAGAAGCACCGGCUAACUACGUG
rnacentral:rRNA from 1 species